rnacentral:rRNA from 1 species
AUUGAACGCUGGCGGCAGGCCUAACACAUGCAAGUCGAGCGGAUGAAGGGAGCUUGCUCCUGGAUUCAGCGGCGGACGGGUGAGUAAUGCCUAGGAAUCUGCCUGGUAGUGGGGGAUAACGUCCGGAAACGGGCGCUAAUACCGCAUACGUCCUGAGGGAGAAAGUGGGGGAUCUUCGGACCUCACGCUAUCAGAUGAGCCUAGGUCGGAUUAGCUAGUUGGUGGGGUAAAGGCCUACCAAGGCGACGAUCCGUAACUGGUCUGAGAGGAUGAUCAGUCACACUGGAACUGAGACACGGUCCAGACUCCUACGGGAGGCAGCAGUGGGGAAUAUUGGACAAUGGGUGAAAGCCUGAUCCAGCCAUGCCGCGUGUGUGAAGAAGGUCUUCGGAUUGUAAAGCACUUUAAGUUGGGAGGAAGGGCAGUAAGUUAAUACCUGGCUGUUUUGACGUUACCAACAGAAUAAGCACCGGCGAACUUCGU